ACGAACGCUGGCGGCGUGCCUAAAACAUGCAAGUCGAACGGAGGUAGCAAUACCUCAGUGGCGAACGGCGGAGUAAUACAUAAGCAACGUGCCCGAAAGACUGGGAUAGUCAGGGGAAACCCUGGGUAAUACUGGAUGUGGCGAGCUCUUGGCAUCUUGAGUUCACUAAAUGGUCUUUCGCUUUCGGAGCGGCUUAUGGCCUAUCAGGUAGUUGGUGAGGUAAUGGCUCACCAAGCCGACGACGGGUAGCGGGUCUGAGAGGAUGAUCCGCUCGAGUGGGACUGAGACACGGCCCACACACCUACGGGUGGCAGCAGUUGGGAAUCUUGCACAAUGGGGGAAACCCCUGAUGCAGCGACGCCGCGUGGAGGAUGACGGGUCUA
rnacentral:rRNA from 1 species